AUCCUUUUGUAGUUCAUGAACAUGAUGACUGGGUGUUCACGCGCAUGUGUGAGAUGCGCCACCCUUGAACCUUGUUACAAUGUCAGCGUAUUACCCGUCUGACC
ensembl:snoRNA